rnacentral:rRNA from 1 species
GACGAACGCUGGCGGCGUGCCUAAUACAUGCAAGUCGAACGCACAGUUUAUACCGUAGCUUGCUACACCAUAAACUGUGAGUUGCGAACGGGUGAGUAACGCGUAGGUAACCUGCCUGGUAGCGGGGGAUAACUAUUGGAAACGAUAGCUAAUACCGCAUAAUAUUGAUUAUUGCAUGAUAAUUGAUUGAAAGAUGCUAUUGCAUCACUACCAGAUGGACCUGCGUUGUAUUAGCUAGUAGGUGAGGUAACGGCUCACCUAGGCGACGAUACAUAGCCGACCUGAGAGGGUGAUCGGCCACACUGGGACUGAGACACGGCCCAGACUCCUACGGGAGGCAGCAGUAGGGAAUCUUCGGCAAUGGACGAAAGUCUGACCGAGCAACGCCGCGGGAGUGAAGAAGGUUGUCGGAUCGUAAAGCUCUGUUGUAAGAGAAGAACGGGUGUGAGAGUGGAAAGUUCACACUGUGACGGUAUCUUACCAGAAAGGGACGGCUAACUACGUG